rnacentral:sRNA from 1 species
ACAUUUAUUUAAUCUUU